CAGCCGCCGUAUGAAGCAACCCUCUCGCUCAAUCCUUCUCUCACCCCGUCUCCUGCAGAGACUCCUUCAUGCCUCAUGGCCAUGAGUGUCGAGCAAUCUCAUCCCCUUCCCCAUGUCUCUAGCAACCCUACCGGAAGCACCAAGGAUGUUCUUCCCCAGGCUACAAUUGAUCCAACUUCUCCCAGAUUCCUUCAUCUACACCCUUUUAAUCUCCAAAUUUGAGUGUUCGUGCAGGUUGCACAACUGCCAUUCAUGCUCCAUCCAAGCAGCAGCAGCAGCACCAAGAGAGCUUGACUUCACCGACCACAACCCCAUGAGGACAAAAUCCAACUUCAGCUACCUUACUCCUCCCUCAUGCCGCCGCUCAGGACUACCUUGAUGUGUCUCUCUCCAGCUCGCACAGACCAGAUUCUUCCCAAAUCUCCAGCAAGUUUUAGAGAAUAAGAUCCCCCUCACGUCACAUCACCAAUUGUGGAGUAACAUCUACUGCUGCUCCUCUUAGUUCUCCACCACUCUGAUAUACCUUAUGUUGCAAUCGCUAUGGCAAGAUGGAAACAAUCAAAUCAAGCCUCACACUACUACUUUUCCAUCUCCUCUCCAUGACAUCUUGAAAUUCUGAUUUCUAACCACCCAGCAAUCCAAAUACUCGCUAAUCCCUUUCUUUUGCGGUGUUUAAUCAUCUAAUAAGCUUAUGACAAUGCAGCAGAGGAGGAUGUGCAGUUCCAAUUGGGCAGCCACCAGUGAGGCUUCCCGUGAACGAACAACAGCAACGGCGGACUACUGGUGGCAUGGUGAUCCCUGCUCUAUUCUCCAUCCUUUAUAUUAAAUCCAUCAUGCAAGAAAGAACCAUGCAUGCAAUCGGCAUGAUCCCUAACAUUUUAUCAAGAAAAAAAUGAUUGUGUACUGGUGGUCUGCAACUAUGCGUCCCCUCCGGCAACACAGGGUAAUUUAAUUAUGUAGUAGAGACAGUUUAUUUUGAUCUAUAUAUAUAGGAGUCUUGAAUUGCAUAUAUGUUUCAAUGUUACAGUAUGUUAGCCAGCCAACAUAAUCGUGUAGAAGAUUUUGAAUGUUAUAUGUGUUUCAUGAAGUACAUGCUAAAUCUCCGAUUAUAUGUGUGGUACUCUGAUUAUCCUUCCUGUCAGAACUAAGUGAAGGUAUGAUCAUUAGGGUUUAAACAUUUUCCAUAUUUUUUAUCUCUAGAUUAUAUACCUUUUUGUUGUUAUUAGAUCAGGUAUUUUUAACCUAUACAUUGGCCAUACAUGUAGCUCCAAGUAGUAUUUGAGCUGCACAGAAAUUUUUCUUCCAUAUUUUCAGACUGGGGAACCAAGCAUGCAAUCGGCAUGAUCCCUAACAUUUUAUCAAGGAAAAAACGAUUUAAUACUGGUGGUCUGCAACUCUGCAUCAACUCUGGCAACACAGUGUAAUUUAUGUAGUAGAGACAGUUUACUUUGAUGUAUAUAUACAGGAGGCUUGAAUUGCAUAUAUGUUUCCAUGUUACAGUAUAUUAGCCAGCCAACAUAAUCGUGUUGAAGAUUUGGAAUGUUAUAUGUGUUUCAGGAAGUACGUGCUAAAUCUACUAUUAUAUGUGUGGUACACUGAUUAUCCUUCCUGUCAGAAUUAAGUGAAGGUAUGAUCAUUAGGGUUUGAACAUUUUCUGUUAUUAGAUCAGGUAGUCAAAUUUUUAUCUGAUAUAUUGGCCAUACAUGUAGCUCCAAGUAGUAUUUGAGUUGCACAGAUAUUUUUCUUUCAUAUUGUUUGACUGGGAACCACAUUUCUGUAUUGCAGCAUUGAAUUUUCUUUUGAUGAUAUUGCAGCUUCUCCUUCGUUCCCUGUACAACUUGACCAUUAAGCAUCUACUAUCCGGUGUUGUGUUCUCAAGCUACACUUUCCCUUAUUUUUAUGGCUAGAUGCUAGAUGAAAUUCCUGCUAGAGCAAAAAAUCUAUUUCACUGUGAGGGUACAAGUUAAUGUUGAAGGGGAAUCUAUGUACGGGUCUCAGCAGGUUCUCUAUAAAUUUAUUUGUGGGAGAGAAUCUUGUGCAGCCAGCAGUAAUAAUACCUGAUGAUCAGGUCUGAGAGAUUUCAUGAGUAUGUGGUAUGUACUGCUGUACAAGCAAAACAAUAGUGCAUUGACUAUUUAUGUUAAAUGUGAAAAUGCUUGAGAAAGGAUUAUAAAUUUUGUAAUCUGUACCUGGGAUUUCAGGGGGUUGUUGUUGACAUUAAAUUUUUAACUGUUGUUCUGAUAAAGGGGGUUGCACCAAACCACUACAGAACAAGAAAUUUAAAGAUUGGAGCUAACAUUUUUUUUUGAGAAUGAUGGUUACAACCAGUCUGCACCAGGGGAUGAUUACAAUCAGCAAGCAUCACCUCCUUUGGCACAGAACCAAUCAUAUAUGUAUGAUAAAGGAAUUUCAUGCUUUAUUUUCUACGACCAGCCAGAGAAAGAUUGGAGGAAUUAUGUUCACAAGGAUAUGUAGAUUCAUUUUCUUUGAAAUGGUUCUUCAGGCCGUCUUCUUUAUGACGAGCCAUACAGAUUGCACAAGGUCACUCAUCAGAGCUAUAUUUCAUAAGUUAGUACAACAAGAGCGAGUGCUCACUCUCCUGAUUCUCAUGAGUCCGGAACAAAACCUGUUAUUCCCAUGUCUUCUUCUCUAUACCAGAUGGCAUGUCUAGCAGCCGGUACUGUCUCUCCACUUGAUGGUGCACCACUUUGGGUUCAAGGUCAAUGUACAAUAAUUAGGCCUCCUAUGCGCUGCCUAUAUAUGCCCGUGCUGUGCUCACUAUCAACUGUCGUCAGGGUCUUCGUAAUACGAGUCCAUAACAGUGAGCUGAGGGCUCAAUAAAUCUGGCUAGCAGGACAGAGAAGCUUGAGACAGCAGAGGCAUCUGGCUUCUCGGCAGGACAAACUGACGAGCGAAAGAAGUUCGGAAGCAAAUUCGUGAUUUUGUAGGUUUCUUCAGGUUGUCGGAGAAUCUUACAGACAUUCAUCUCAUCAGAGAUUCACAGCAACAUUUACUCCCUUGCAAUGUUGGUUUGCUCUGUGUUCAGAGUUAGAUGUAGUUGUCAUCUGUCAUGUAAAUGAAUGGAUUCCACAAAAAAAUGAAAAGGAACUAGACUGAUUACAUGGACUUCAGAAGAUACAGAAAAGUAAGUAUUGGGAACCUCAUGUUGUCAUGUAAGUUCCGGUUGUCAAUAUGAGAGAGCAUCUACACUGCAUCAUGUCAAAGCCAU